UACGAAGGGGGCUAGCGUUGCUCGGAAUCACUGGGCGUAAAGGGCGCGUAGGCGGACUUUUAAGUCGGGGGUGAAAGCCCAGGGCUCAACCCUGGAAUUGCCUUCGAUACUGAGAGUCUUGAGUUCGGAAGAGGUUGGUGGAACUGCGAGUGUAGAGGUGAAAUUCGUAGAUAUUCGCAAGAACACCAGUGGCGAAGGCGGCCAACUGGUCCGAUACUGACGCUGAGGAGCGAAAGCCAGGGGAGCAAACGGG
rnacentral:rRNA from 1 species